rnacentral:lncRNA from 1 species
UGUAGCUGUAGCUUGUUAGCUGUUUCUAUGGUAACGACGCCAUCAAAGCUUCACAAGUCGGAUAAGAAACUAAAUUGUCAUUAUUUAUGAGUAAACUAAGCAAAGCGUAAAUGUAUAGGAGGAACGAACAGGUGACUCGACAGAUUUUCACUGCAGGUAAACACUGUAAUAAAUAGUGCAACGUAACGUUUGUGUGUUCACGGUGAAAUGUUACCAGAACACUUAAGUUAGUUAUUUCGCCAAAUAGCUUGGAAUCUUUCAGCUGGUUUUUCUUCUGGUUCUUUUCAGUUUUUUAUGCUAUCAGAGAUGGCCACCUCUCCGGGUGUAUUCAAAAACACACCGAAGAAAAAGAUGUCCAACUUUCAAGUCCUGCCCCCUAUUGAAGGGGCACAACAGCUCGGUGAAAUUGAGCAAAUCAUAGGCAAGAAGGAGGAAAUAGCGGAUAAGAUCGCGGUCUCCAAGAAGCUGCUGAGACACAAAAGGAGCAAAAUGGAAGUCAAGCAACGCCAAAAGAUACUGGUCUCUAAAGCAGCAGAGGAUUUCAGACAGAGCAGAGAGAGGGGAGGUGUCCGCAGCUUGUCCCCAGAGCCACAGCUUCCACCUUCUGUAUGGCAUCUACUUAUUUAUGCACACAUACAGUGGGAUGCAAAAGUUUGGGCAACCUUGUUAAUAGUCAUUAUUUUCCUGUAUAAAUCGUUGAUUGUUACAAUAAAAAAAAAAAAAAAAAAAAAGUCAGUUAAAUAUAUCAUAUAGGAGACACAGUGAUAUUUGAGAAGUGAAAUGAAGUUUAUUGUAUUUACAGAAAGUGUGCAAUAACUGUUUAAACAAAAUCAGGCAGGUGCAUAAAUUUGGGCACCACAAAAAAAGAAAUUUAAUCAAUAUUUAGUAGAGAAAUUACAGCCUCUAAACACUUCCUGUAGGUUCCAAUGAGAGUCUGGAUUGUGGUUGAAGUAUUUUGGACCAUUCCACUUUACAAAACAUCUGUAGUUCAUUCAUGUUUGAUGGCUUCCGAGCAUGGACAGCUCUCUUUAACUUACACCACAGAUUUUCAAUAAUAGUCAGGUCUGGGGACUGAGAUGGCCAUUCCAGAACGUUGCUCUUGUUCCUCUGCAUGAAUGCCUUAGUGGAUUUUGAGCAGUGUUUCGGGUCGUUGUCUUGUUGAAAGAUCCAGCCCCGGCGCAGCGUCAGCUUUGUCACUGAUUCCUGGACAUUGGUCUCCAGAAUCUGCUGAUACUGAGUGGAAUCCAUGUGUCCCUCAACUUUGACAAGAUUCCCAGUCCCUGCACUGGCCACACAGCCCCACAGCAUGAUGGAACCACCACCAUAUUUUACUGCAGGUAGCAGGUGUUUUUCUUGGAAUGCUGUGUUCUUUUUCCUCCAUGCAUAACGCCCCUUGUUAUGCCCAAAUAACUCAAUUUUAAUUUCAUCAGUCCACAGCACCUUAUUCCAGAAUGAAGCUGGCUUGUCCAAAUGUGCUUUAGCAUACCUCAAGCGGCUCUGUUUGUGCUGUGGGCGGAGAAAAGGCUUCCUCUGCAUCACUCUCGCAUACAGCAUCUCCUUGUAUAAAGUGCACCGAAUGGUUGAACGAUGCACAGUGACUCCAUCUGCUGCAAGAUGAUGUUGUAGGUCUUGUAGGUUGUAGGUUGUAGGUCUGUUGUAGGUGCUGGUCUGUGGGUUGACUCUGACCGUUCUCACCAUUCGUCGCUUCUGUCUAUCCGAGAUUUUUCUUGGUCUGCCACUUCAAACCUUAACUUGAACUGCUCCUGUGGUCUUCCAUUUUCUCAAUAUGUUCCUAACUGUGGAAACAGACAGCUUAAAUCUCUGAGACAGCUUUCAGUAUCCUUCCCCUAAACCAUGAUGGUGAACAAUCUUUGUCUUCAGGUCAUUUGAGAGUUGUUUUGAGACCCCCAUGUUGCUACUCUUCAGAGGAAAUUAAAAGAGGAGGGAAACUUACAAUUGACCCCCUUAAAUACUCUUUGUCAUUAUUGGAUUCACCUGUGUAUGUAGGUCAGGGGUCACUGAGCUUACCAAACCAAUUUGAGUUCCAAUAAUUAGUUCUAAAGGUUUUGGAAUCAAUAAAAUGACAACAGUGCCCAGAUUUAUGCACCUGCCUGAUUUUGUUUAAAAAAUUAUUGCACACUUUCUGUAAAUACAAUAAACUUAGUUUCACCCCUCAAAUAUCACUGUGUGUGUCUCCUAUAUGAUAUAUUUAACUGACAUUUUUUAUUGUAACAACCAACGAUUUAUACAGGAAAAUAAUGACUAUUAACAAGGUUGCCCAAACUUUUGCAUCCCACUGUACAUACAAGUACUAGCUAAAUAUGAAAAUAUUUCCCAGAAUGAUGGUAUAUUUCAAUGCUUAUUUUACAGAUGCUUAGUGAACAACGGAAACAAAUGGUAAGUAUAUUAGUAUUAAAUUUGAUAUGUGAACAGACAAUCCUAUUAACAUGUAUAUUAACCCUGUACUAUUUAUUGUAUUUCCUCUUUUACAGAUGAAUUACAACUUCCUUAAACAGUGUGUGGAGAGACGCGAAUUUCCAGUUAUACAGCAGCAGUGGUUAGACUCAAUUGUAGAUCGAGUCCCAGCAAGACUAAGAGGGAGCCCCGAGUCAAAAAAACUGCUGCAGGAGCUCUGCAAGGAAGUCAGCGACAAUUUCAAUAGUGUGAUUGUAAAGUACACAGGUAUUUCCAGUUAUUUAUGUUGUAUGAAUGUACAGUUCCGUGUAAAAGUGUAGGUACUGAAAUUAAAAACAGAACGCUUUCAAAAAUAUGUUUUACUUACCAAUUUGUAAAUGUAGUAAAAAAACAAACCAUAUCUCUGUUUGGUGGGAUUCUUCUUCAAAACAUCACCAGUUUUCCUACAGUAAAGAAGAAUGUUUUAUUCCUUUGGCAGCAGUAACUUGAAGUAAUAGUUUUCUAAAUGAUUUUAUC